AUUGAACGCUGGCGGCAGGCCUAACACAUGCAAGUCGAACGAGUGGCGGACGGGUGAGUAAUGUCUGGGAAACUGACUGAUGGAGGGGGAUAACUACUGGAAACGGUAGCUAAUACCGCAUACCAUCAGAUGUGCCCAGAUGGGAUUAGCUGGUUGGUGGUGGAACUGCUCACCACGGCGACGAUCCACAGCUGGUCUGCGAGGAUGACCAGCCACACUGGAACUGAGACACGGUCCAUACUCCUACGGGAGUCAGCAGUGGGGAAUAUUGCACAAUGGGCGCAAGCCUGAUGCAGCCAUGCGGCGUGUAUGAAGAAGGCCUUCGGGUUGUAAAGUACUUUCCGCGGGGAGGCGUUACCCGCAGAAGAAGCACCGGCUAACUCCGUGCCAGCAGCCGCGGUAAUAC
rnacentral:rRNA from 1 species